rnacentral:rRNA from 1 species
AGGGAAUCUUCCGCAAUGGACGCAAGUCUGACGGAGCAACGCCGCGUGAGUGAUGAAGGUCUUCGGAUCGUAAAACUCUGUUGUUAGGGAAGAACAAGUACGAGAGUAACUGCUCGUACCUUGACGGUACCUAACCAGAAAGCCACGGCUAACUACGUGCCAGCAGCCGCGGUAAUACGUAGGUGGCAAGCGUUGUCCGGAAUUAUUGGGCGUAAAGCGCGCGCAGGCGGUCUCUUAAGUCUGAUGUGAAAGCCCACGGCUCAACCGUGGAGGGUCAUUGGAAACUGGGAGACUUGAGUGCAGAAGAGAAGAGUGGAAUUCCAUGUGUAGCGGUGAAAUGCGUAGAGAUAUGGAGGAACACCAGUGGCGAAGGCGACUCUUUGGUCUGUAACUGACGCUGAGGCGCGAAAGCGUGGGGAGCAAAC